GUUCCUCGGGACGCAGCAGUGAGGAAUAUUGGUCAAUGGACGCAAGUCUGAACCAGCCAUGCCGCGUGCAGGAAGACGGUUCUAUGAGUUGUAAACUGCUUUUGUACGAGGGUAAAUCCCGAUACGUGUAUCGGGUUGAAAGUAUCGUACGAAUAAGAAUCGGCUAACUCCGUGCCAGCAGCCGCGGUAAUACGGAGGAUGCGAGCGUUAUCCGGAUUUAUUGGGUUUAAAGGGUGCGCAGGCGGAAUGUCAAGUCAGCGGUAAAAUUUCGGGGCUCAACCCCGUCGUGCCGUUGAAACUGUCGU
rnacentral:rRNA from 1 species